rnacentral:rRNA from 1 species
UGGGGAAUAUUGGACAAUGGGGGGAACCCUGAUCCAGCCAUGCCGCGUGUGUGAAGAAGGCCUUAUGGUUGUAAAGCACUUUAAGCGAGGAGGAGGGUACUGGUAUUAAUACUACCAGCUACUGGACGUUACUCGCAGAAUAAGCACCGGCUAACUCUGUGCCAGCAGCCGCGGUAAUACAGAGGGUGCGAGCGUUAAUCGGAUUUACUGGGCGUAAAGCGUGCGUAGGCGGCUAAUUGAGUCGGAUGUGAAAUCCCCGAGCUUAACUUGGGAAUUGCAUUCGAUACUGGUUAGCUGGAGUGUGGGAGAGGAUGGUAGAAUUCCAGGUGUAGCGGUGAAAUGCGUAGAGAUCUGGGGGAAUACCGAUGGCGAAGGCAGCCAUCUGGCCUAACACUGACGCUGAGGUACGAAAGCAUGGGGAGCAAACAGA